AGGAUUUGGCAGAUGACUGUAGCCUUGAUAAGUACUUGAAAAGAAUUGAAUUGGUGCUCUUCUGAUGGGCUUGUUUUUAUUUUUUCCACCCUCCUUGGCCUCCCAAAGUGAUGAGGUUACAGGCAUGAGCCACUGCACCUGGCCUGGAUUUUUCUUAAAAGGAAUUUCAAUUAGUUGUUCUAAACACAGAAUUUUAAAAUAUAAUUAUAUUCUUACCUAGCUAAGGAGUACAGUAGAUAUUGAUCCUA
rnacentral:lncRNA from 1 species